rnacentral:rRNA from 1 species
GUGUCAGCCGCCGCGGUAAUACGUAGGGUGCGAGCGUUAAUCGGAAUUACUGGGCGUAAAGUGUGCGCAGGCGGCCGAGCAAGUCGAGUGUGAAAGCCCCGAGCUUAACUUGGGAACUGCGCUCGAAACUACUUGGCUGGAGUGUGGCAGAGGAAGGUGGAAUUCCACGUGUAGCGGUGAAAUGCGUAGAGAUGUGGAGGAACACCGAUGGCGAAGGCAGCCUUCUGGGCCAACACUGACGCUCAUGCACGAAAGCGUGGGGAGCAAACAGGAUUAGAAACCCGUGUAGUCC